AUUGAACGCUGGCGGCAGGCCUAACACAUGCAAGUCGAGCGGCAGCGGGAAAGUAGCUUGCUACUUUUGCCGGCGAGCGGCGGACGGGUGAGUAAUGCCUGGGAAAUUGCCCAGUCGAGGGGGAUAACAGUUGGAAACGACUGCUAAUACCGCAUACGCCCUACGGGGGAAAGCAGGGGACCUUCGGGCCUUGCGCGAUUGGAUAUGCCCAGGUGGGAUUAGCUAGUUGGUGAGGUAAUGGCUCACCAAGGGGACGAUCCCUAGCUGGUCUGAGAGGAUGAUCAGCCACACUGGAACUGAGACACGGUCCAGACUCCUACGGGAGGCAGCAGUGGGGAAUAUUGCGCAAUGGGGGAAACCCUGGUGCAGCCAUGCCGCGUGUGUGAAGAAGGCCUUCGGGUUGUAAAGCACUUUCAGCGAGGAGGAAAGGUCAGUAGCUAAUAUCUGCUGACUGUGACGUUACUCGCAGAAGAAGCACCGGCUAACUCCGUGCCAGCCGCCGCAGUAAUAC
rnacentral:rRNA from 1 species